rnacentral:rRNA from 1 species
CGGUAAUUCCAGCUCCAAUAGCGUAUACUAAAGUUGUUGCAGUUAAAAAGCUCGUAGUUGGAUUUCUGCGGGGACGGAGCGGCCGGACGCAACUUGCGUCUCGAGCUAGCGCUUUCCCCGCAUCCUGCCGCGAACCGUGCUACCAUUAGUUUGGUGGCGCUGGGGAUCGGCUCGAUUACUUUGAGAAAAAUAGAGUGUUCAAAGCAGGCCACACGCCUUGAAUAAGUUAGCAUGGAAUAAUGACUAAGGACUUUGGUUCUUUUCGUUGGUGUUCGGGACUGAAGUAAUGAUUGAUAGGGACAGUUGGGGCGGUCCGUAUUCCAAAGCGAGAGGUGAAAUUCUUAGACCUUCGGAAGACGAACAGCUGCGAAAGCGUUCCGCAAGGAUGUUCCCUUUGAUCAAGAACGAAAGUUGGGGGAUCGAAGACGAUCAGAUACCGUCGUAGUCUCAACUAUAAACUAUACCAGCUAGGGAUCGGCCAACGUUUAAUUAUUCGACUUGGUCGGCACCUUAUGAGAAAUCAAAGCAUCUGGGUUCCGGGGGGAGUAUGGUCGCAAGGCUGAAACUUAAAGGAAUUGACGGAAGGGCACCACCAGGCGUGGAGCCUGUGGCUUAAUUUGACUCAACACGGGAAAACUUACCAGGUCCAGACAUAGGAAGGAUUGACAGAUUGAUAGCUCUUUCUUGAUUCUGUGGGUGGUGGUGCAUGGCCGUUUUUAGUCGGUGAAGUGAUUUGUCUGCUUAAUUGCGUUAACGGACGAGACCCCAGCCUGCUAAAUAGCGCGGCCGAGCUUUGCUCGGUACGAGCUUCUUAGAGGGACCAUGAUGCGCGAUAGCACAAGGAAGUUUGGGGCAACAACAGGUCUGUGAUGCCCUUAGAUGUUCUGGGCCGCACACGGGCUACACUGGCGCCUGCAACGAGCAUAUCAGCUGGCCCGAGAGGGUCUUGGCUAAUCUUUGGAACCGGCGCCGUGCUUGGGAUUGACCAUUGCAAUUGUUGGUCAUGCAACGAGGAAUGCCUUGUAAACGCGAGUCAUCAGCUCGCAUUGAAUACGUCCCUGCCCUUUGUACACACCGCCCGUCGCUCCUACCGAUGAAUGUUCCGAUGAAAUUUUCGGAGAGCGCCGGAGAACGGGGCUCUGCCCUGCAGAACUGGAGGCUCAAAGUCACUUAAAUCUGAACAUUUCGAGGAAGGAGAAGUCGUAACAAGGUAACC